ensembl:lncRNA
GCCCUCCUCCUCCUAAUUCUUCCCCGCGCGCCCGGCGGGGCCGGAGAGACCGAGAGGUGGCUGCGGGGAGGCGUAACGGGGAGCCGCGGCUCGGAGCCGAGGACGCCGAGCCGGGACCGGGGAACCUGGGAAGCACACUUGAGUCACAGCUGGCCUGUGGUUUUUACAUCUCAUCAGGGACCACUCUCUUCACAGCCUUAUCUUCGCUCCUCCCCAUACAGGUGGCAGUUUUCUGAAGUUGCUCAUUGAGACUUCUCAGCAUUCCUACAGAUAUAAUAGCCACAGCAAUCCAUUCUUCCCACUGAAGAAGGCAGUAAAACAGCUUUGAAGUUCCAAGUCAUCCAAUGGACCUGUCCUUACAGACACCAGCAUCUCCUGAGCCACGGGCAGCGUCUCACCAGGUGGCAUAGGGCCGGGGGACCAGGCAGCCUGGAAAGGUGGGACUGGCCCCAGUCUCUGUAUCUCGUGUUACCAGCCCAGGGCAGCCUGUGGAAAAGUCUCAGUUGGCAACCUCAGGUGGACUUGGAAACGUAC